UUACGGUCAUAUCACAUUGAAACACCGGUUCCCGUACGAUCACCAAAGUUAAGCAACGUCGUAUCUGGUCAGUACGCAAAUGGAUGACCGCUUGGGAAUACCAAGUACUGUAAU
rnacentral:rRNA from 1 species